rnacentral:rRNA from 1 species
AUUGAACGCUGGCGGCGUGCUUAACACAUGCAAGUCGAUCGGUAACAGGUGUAGCAAUACAUGCUGACGAGAGGCGGACGGGUGAGGAAUAUUUGGGAAUCUGCCCAUCAGCGGGGGACAACCCGGGGAAACCCGGGCUAAUACCGCAUACGCUCUACGGAGGAAAGCCGGGGACCGCAAGGCCUGGCACUGAUGGAUGAGCCCAAAUCGGAUUAGCUAGUUGGCGGGGUAACGGCCCACCAAGGCGACGAUCCGUAGCUGGUCUGAGAGGACUAUCGGCCAGACCGGAACUGAGAGACGGUCCGGACUCCUACGGGAGUCAGCAGUGGGUAAUAUUGGACAAUGGGGGAAACCCUGUUCCAGCGCCGCCGCGUGGGGGAAGAAGGCCUGCGGGUUGUAAAGCCCUUUCGGUAGGGACGAAAGCUUUUGCUCCAACAAAGCAGGAGGUUGACUUAACCUACAUAAGAAGCACCGGCUAACUCUGUGCCAGCCGCCGCCGUAACAC